rnacentral:rRNA from 1 species
GUGUCAGCAGCCGCGGUAAUACGUAGGGGGCAAGCGCUGUCCGGAUUUACUGGGCGUAAAGGGUGUGCAGGCGGACUGGCGUGUCGAUGGUGAAAGCUCCCGGCUUAACCGGGAAAGUGCUGUCGAAACUACCAGCCUUGAGGGCGGAAGAGGAAACUGGAACUUCCGGUGUAGCGGUAAAAUGCGUAGAUAUCGGAAGGAACGCCGAUAGCGAAGGCAGGUUUCUGGGACGUACCUGACGCUGAAACACGAAAGCUAGGGGAGCAAACAGGAUUAGAUACCCUGGUAGUCCUAGCUGUAAACGAUGUACAUUAGGCGUGGGGAAUUUUCCCCGUGCCGGAGCCAACGCGUUAAAUGUACCGCCUGGGGACUACGGCCGCAAGGUUGAAACUCAAAUGAAUUGACGGGG